rnacentral:rRNA from 1 species
AGGAUGAACGCUAGCGGCAGGCUUAAUACAUGCAAGUCGUGGGGCAGCACAGGUAGCAAUACUGGGUGGCGACCGGCAAACGGGUGCGGAACACGUACGCAACCUUCCUUUAAGUGGGGAUAGCCCAGGGAAACUUGGAUUAAUACCCCGUAAUAUUAUUGAGUGGCAUCACUUGAUAAUUAUAGCUCCGGCGCUUAAAGAUGGGCGUGCGCCUGAUUAGGUAGUUGGCGGAGUAACAGCCCACAAGCCUACGAUCAGUAACUGGUGUGAGAGCACGACCAGUCACACGGGCACUGAGACGACGGGCCCACUCCGUACGGGAGCAGCAAGUAAGGAAUAUAGUCAAUGGACGCAAGUCUAGAACCAGACCAUGCCGCGGUGGAGGAUCGGACGCCCUGUGGUUAUUAAACUUCCUUUUAUCGUAGGAA